GCCAGGGAACUACGAGCGCAAGCUUAAAACCCAAAGGACUUGACGGUGUCCCACCUACCUAGAGGAGCCUGUUCUAUAAUCGAUAAUCCCCGAUACACCCCACCUCCCCUCGCAUAUGCCCAGCCUGUAUACCUCCGUCGCAAGCUUACCGCCUGAGCGCCCCACAGUAAGCUAAAAGAUCAGAACAUCCACACGUCAGGUCAAGGUGCAGCCUAUGGGGCGGAAAGAAAUUGGCUACAAUUUCUAUCUUAGAACACACGGAAAGCUGUUGCAACACAGCUCUGAAGGCGGAUUUAGAAGUAAAAAGAAAAUAGAGAGUUCUUUUUAAACUAGCACUGGGACAUGUACACACCGCCCGUCACCCUCUUCAAAACAACCAUACACAUGUCCUUAACACCUUAAACCUAAGAAGAAGAGGCAAGUCGUAACAUGGUAAGUGUACUGGAAAGUGCACUUGGAUGACAAAAUGUAACUUAACCAAAGCCUCUCGCUACACCA
rnacentral:rRNA from 1 species